GCUUCAGGAUCUCCUGGUGCAAAUCCUCCACGUCCUUGGCGGCAUUCAUCUCCUGAAAAAGAACCAAGCAAAGGGCCUGACACCCCCCCACAAGCCCCCCGCUGCCUUUCGUGCAGCCGUACAUUUGUCUCAAGAGGAGGUCAUGCUACAUUUAAAUUGAACUCAGAAUGCUGGUAAAUCCAGGGUAGGGCUGUGGCACCCAGGUCUUUACGUUCUGAGAGAGACCCCUCUCCCACCUGCCAGUUAAGGGACAGAUUAGCGAGACCCCCCCACCUGCCAGUUCAAGGAUGGAUCCUUCAUCAGCUGUUUAAACCUGUCCUGCACAGCUUGCUGGAAGUCGCUGGUCUCGUAGCGCUCGGCCCCAAACUGACCCCUACUUGCUGCCUCGUCCGGGCUCAACUUUAAGAACAGCACCAGGUCCGGUUUGGGCAGCCCCACAUCCGGGUUCCUGCACCACUCCAAGCAGAACCC